CGCACCUCGUGCGGCGAUUGAAGAGCAGGCGAUGGCGCAGAAUCUGGUGUUCAUCAACGGUGGGCAGCGCGGGUUGCACGUGCGGCUCAAUCCGCGCGAUGCGGCCAAGGUCUUGAAUGCGAUCGUUGCGCCGUUGGUCGCCUGACGCGGAGCGUUACUGGCUCGCCCAGACGAUGCGCGCGAUCCAUUCGACGUUCUUGGCGUCGAUGAC
rnacentral:misc_RNA from 1 species